CACGUAGGGCGCAAGCGUUGUCCGGAAUUAUUGGGCGUAAAGAGCUCGUAGGCGGUCUGUUGCGUCCGCUGUGAAAACUCGGGGCUUAACCCCGAGCCUGCAGUGGAUACGGGCAGACUAGAGGUAGGUAGGGGAGAAUGGAAUUCCCGGUGUAGCGGUGAAGUGCGCAGAUAUCGGGAGGAACACCGGUGGCGAAGGCGGUUCUCUGGGCCUUACCUGACGCUGAGGAGCGAAAGCGUGGGGAGCGAACAGG
rnacentral:rRNA from 1 species